rnacentral:pre_miRNA from 1 species
AGGAGGAACAGCCCCAGUGGCGGGGCAGCUCUGGAAACCUGGAUUCAGCUCCGGCAGGAACUCCGGAGCUCUCAGUCUGCAGGGCCUGGAGGCUCCGGGGCGGG